GAUGAAGAACGUAGCGAAAUGCGAUAAGUAGUGUGAAUUGCAGAAUUCAGUGAAUCAUCGAAUCUUUGAACGCACAUUGCGCCUCCUGGUAUUCCGGGAGGCAUGCCUGUUCGAGCGUCAUUAAAAUCACUCAAGCUUAGGUUUACCUAUUGCUUGGUCUUGGAGAUGGAAGCCAAUUUAUUGGAAUCCUCUUCGAAAUUCAAUGGCGAAGACCCUUGCUCUCCCAAGUGUAGUAAUAACUUAUGUCACUGAAGGAAGCGAGAAAUCUUCUGCCGUAACCCCCAUAUUUUCUAUGAUUGACCUCGGAUCAGGUAGGGAUACCCGCUGAGCUUAAGCAUAUCAAUAAGCGGAGGA
rnacentral:misc_RNA from 1 species